rnacentral:tRNA from 1 species
GCAUUGGUGAUUCAGUGGUGGAAUUCUCAUCUUCCAUGCGGGCGACCUGGAUUCUAUUCCUGGCCAAUGUA